rnacentral:rRNA from 1 species
CCAAUCGGGACGCGCGUAGUCAAUGUCAGAUACGGCGCUGUUUGUCUGUGGUCUGGGAAACCAUUAAGCUCCUGCGAUGUUUCCCAAUCUUGCGAGAGCUUCGUUUUCUAUUUUUAGAGUAAUACUUUUACUGUUGCAAUAGUAAGGUUUGAGGAGACGUUAGGGGUGAAAUGCUUACCGCGCUUAAAAAUAGCUGGUUCUUUACAAAAUUAAUGUGAGUUAAGCAUAAAAUAUUUAUUAUAUAGAAAAUUUUUAGGAUAAAAUAGUAAUAAAAAUAAUAUUUUGAUGUGAGACAAAUAGGUACAAGCUUGUUUGUCAAGAAGAAAAAGCUUUUUUUACAAACUAAGGAUAAAACAAUUUUAAUACAAAGAUUAAAUAAAGUAGGAUUGAUAGCAUCUACCUUAAUAAAAAGCGUUAAAGCUUUGUUUUAUGGAGAGUAGAAAAUUUUAAUUAUAAGUCUUAUGUUGUAAAAUAAUAGUAAAGAUUUCUAUUUGUUUAGAAGAUACAAUGCUAAAAUUAGUAAAGAAAAGUUACUUGGGGUUUAAUCGUUUCUAACUUUGGAUGAAGAAAUAUAUAAAAUACUAGAAAAAUAAUUUAAUUUUCGUCUUCCAACUCAGGGGGCUUUGGAAUAAAAAACUAAAAGAAAGGAACUCGGCAAAUCAAACUUCGCCUGUUUACCAAAAACAUCGCUCUUUGAAAAGAUGCUAAAAUAUAAAGAGUCCUGCCUGCCCAGUGACGAAAGUUAAACGGCCGCGGUAUUUUGACCGUGCAAAGGUAGCAUAAUCAUUUGCCUUUUAAAUGGAGGCUAGUAUGAAUGGCAAGACGGGGGUUUAGCUGUCUCUCUUUUAGGAACUUGAAAUUAUUAUCCUUGUGAAGAAACGGGGAUGAAUCGUAGGACGAGAAGACCCUAUCGAGCUUUAGCUUUAUGUUUAAAGUUAAAGGAUUUUUUAUUGUUGGCUAUAGAGUAUAAAAUUAAUUUUACCUAGUAGUAAAAUAAAUUGUACAGGCGCUUGGUGGGGCACCGAGAAAAAUCACCCUCCGCUAUCAACAAAAAACCUACUGUUUUGUGAAUUCAGACUAUAGAGUGAUCACUUACAGUGAUCAAGGAUAGUACGUAGGAAAACAGCGUAGUCUCUCGCAAGUCGAUUGCAUAAAGUUGCUACUCAAUCUGAAUCGGACAU